UAGUCAGGGAUCUAUCCACGCCAUGUGGAGGGGUUGCCCAUCCCAAACCAGGAGUAAACAUUGGGCAGUAUCCGGAAGGGUCGCUGUCCGAGGUUUCUAAGGAAGUGUGUAACGCCUCAGGCUGGAUAACAGAGCAGGGAAAAACACUCGCUCUUGGUAGUGGGAGGAUCACGACCCUGAAUGGCGAUGGUCCUUAACUACA
rnacentral:SRP_RNA from 1 species